rnacentral:rRNA from 1 species
UGGGGGAUAUUGCACAAUGGGCGAAAGCCUGAUGCAGCGACGCCGCGUGGGGGAUGAAGGCCUUCGGGUUGUAAACUUCUUUUGCUCUGAACAAGGCAUGCCUUUGGGGUGUGUUGAGUGUAGGGGUUGAUUAGCGCCGGCUAACUACGUGCCAGCAGCCGCGGUAAUACGUAGGGCGCGAGCGUUGUCCGGAAUUAUUGGGCGUAAAGGGCUUGUAGGUGGCUGGUUGCGUCUGUCGUGAAAGCUCAUGGCUUAACUGUGGGUUUGCGGUGGGUACGGGCUGGCUUGAGUGCAGUAGGGGAGGCUGGAAUUCCUGGUGUAGCGGUGGAAUGCGCAGAUAUCAGGAGGAAUACCGGUGGCGAAGGCGGGUCUCUGGGCUGUUACUGACACUGAGGAGCGAAAGCGUGGGGAGCGAACAGG